ensembl:lncRNA
ACACUACAUCCCAGGUGCAUUCCUGAAAUACUUGCUGGGUGGAUUGAGCUUAUUCUGGGGCCUAUCCUGCUUGAAUAUGCAAAGGAUUCCAGUGUUAUCUGGUAUAUCUGAUGCGGCAUUGACCUAUACUCUCAUAUCUUAUCUUCCUACUCAGUAUGCAACCAGAAAAUGCUGGUGCUGCUGUACUACUGAGGGCAGUGCCUCCCUCCAACAACUGCUCCGCAGUGUGAGAUGUGGCCACUCACACAGACUCCUAAUACAGCCCACCGCAUGUAGUCUGGCAAGUGUAUAGGACAAGUGGUCCCUUCUUGGAGAUGAUGGAGGAGAAGGACAUUUGUGGGAACACCGAUGUUGACCUGAUUUCUGCUUAAGGAACACCUGACUUUGUUUCCCACUUUCUCCCUUCCCAGCUCAGUUCCUGGGGUGACAGGGCCAAGUUCCAGCAACAAUAGCUGAGUUCUGGCAUUUUGACAUCCAAACCAGGGAUUGUUGUUGCAAAACCAUGUGCAAUUCAGCGCUGAGCAAUGUGUUCCCUACACACAGCUCAGUGCAGUACACUGGGAUGGUUACUAUUAUCGACACUAUUAGGACAUACAGGAGAGCAUGAUGCAAUAGAAGGAACACCAAGCUGAGAUAAAGGUGACAUGGGGAACUGUUGUAGGCAGCUUGAAGGUAUAACUAUAUGCGAAAGCCCCACUGGUUCUGGAGUUGGCCUAUGGAUUCGCAAUGAAUGGAGCAACCAGAAAGGAAUGCAGAUAUAACGGAGAGCCCUCCCUGCCAUCUGCACCCAUGAGCCCACUGCAUCAUAGGAUUUUUGCAGGCCCUGCCAUACAAAAAUAACCAAAACCAAGUGAAAAAGUGUUUAGUCUUACAAAUCUCAAAAUAAAAGGAACCUUGGAUAUGAGUGAUUCUUUCUCAUCUCUAAACAUAUAUGUACUUCCAUAAUGCUGAACUCAAUUCUUCUUUUCUUUAUCUUGCAUUUAAACAAUAGACCAGGUUUUAUGGUUCUAUGCGAAGAACUUGUUACACAAGCUCCAGUGACUCACAAUCUUGUUGAACACUGUAUUCCCAAGUACUAGCCUCUAACACCAGGAAUCCUGGUAAAUGGAAUUAAAUAUUUUGCAAGAAUAUCUUGCUACAGCAUUUAAUACAUCUCUUGCAUAACUGACUCUUUUGGUGGGAUCUUUACUUUGGAAAGUAAAACAGAUAUAUGCAUGUAUUCAGUUGAGAGGUUGUAACAUGUUGAUACUGAUUUACUUGAGAGUUUUGGCCAAAUUUGGUGUGCUUAUGUUGCUGGGAGUAAAAGGGAG